AACCCAUAGUGAGGACACUUUCUCAAUAAGUCCUUAUACCUCUCCCAUGCAUCAUAUAAGGUCUCUAAGUCGAUCUGAAUGAAGAAAUAGAUAUCAUUGCUCAACUU
rfam:Gossypium raimondii Chr07_contig_703, whole genome shotgun sequence.